GCUAGGAAGCAAUUAUUUUGAUUGCACAGUGUGAUUUAAGUCAUACAAUGAUGCCGCGGUGGAAUGUACACAUUUACGAGUAUGUAUAAAUAAAGGACGAAAUAGUAUAAUACGGGUGGAGAAUAUAUAAAUAGAAGUGCCGGAAGUCAGCCGGAAACGUGAUAUACUUCAGAGGUGAAAUAUGUGCGUAAAGUGAUUGAGUGUGUUGUUUUGGGCCUUUGAUUAUUAUAAGUUGAUAACCGCCAAAGUCAUAAAUAACGUGCCAGGCCGAAUAUACUUUAUGUAUGUAUGUAU